GUCAUGCCGGGUCGAACAGGAUCAGUCGGCGUCGUCACAGACGCGUGCAGUAAACAUUGAAAUUGAAAUAAGUUUAUUGAGGUAAAAUACACACAAAGGGAUGAGGUAGCUCAAGCUAUUCUCACCCCGUUCAGUACAUCGUGUUAAUAUAUACAUAUAAACACAUCACAAACAAUAAACAUAUUACCAAACAUUCUGAGAGAUAAACAUCUACAUUUCCUAUAAACAUUGAACGUCUCUAGCUAUAUAUCUUGGGAUAUGUGUGAAUAUGCUAAUUAUUAUUUUAACGGGGAGUCAGGUAUAUAUGUUUCACGUUACAUUAAAUACACAGAGUACAUGUAAAUGAAAGAUGGAGAGGUUCUAAUGGAAUCUGCGAGGAACAAAAGGACCUCCACUACCAGAAAUGUAAUCAAGUACGCUAAGUUUGGUAAGUGUAGGCACUAAACGCAAGUGAUUCUAAUCAUUCCACCGCCAACCACUGAAUGAUUGGAAGUGGGUGGGGUGGAGCGGGGUGUGAAUAAGUAAAUCAAAUUACGAAACUUUCUCACCGCAAAUGUAAGAUGCCUGGCUUAGAGCCUGUACGUGUGGUCGUUCUCGAUUCUAUUGUUGAUAUAUGCAUUAAACUGCGCAGCUACCUUCAAGACUGUAACUUGCUUAGCUAUAUAAGUAUUUUGUGGUUUAAUUUUUGAGCCCAUUAUAUGCCUCUAGCCAUUUCCAUUACCGCCCACGGAAUGGGUAUGAGGGGGAAUAGGAAAUUAACUAAAUUAAAUUUUAAAAUGAUCUUUUUAGUGUAUAUACAAUAUUAAAAUGUUUCAUAUUUCUACUAUUCGAGUCAA